rnacentral:rRNA from 1 species
ACUAUCCGGGAGACACACUAUGGGUGCUAACGUCCAUAGUGAAGAGGGAAACAACCCAGACCGCCAGCUAAGGUCCCAAAGUCAUAGUUAAGUGGGAAACGAUGUGGAAAGGCAUAGACAGCUAGGAGGUUGGCUUAGAAGCAGCCAUCCUUUAAAGAAAGCGUAAUAGCUCACUAGUCGAGUCGGUCUGCGCGGAAGAUGUAACGGGGCUAAACUAUGCACCGAAGCUGCGGAUUCAUCCAAUAGGAUGAGUGGUAGGGGAGCGUUCUGUAAGCCGUUGAAGGUGUGUUGAGAAGCAUGCUGGAGGUAUCAGAAGUGCGAAUGCUGACAUGAGUAACGAUAAAGGGGGUGAAAAACCCCCUCGCCGAAAGCCAAGGUUUCCUGUCCCAUGUUAAUCAGGGCAGGGUAAGUCGGCCCCUAAGGUGAGACCGAAAGGUGUAAUCGAUGGGAAACAGAUUAAUAUUUCUGUACUUCUAUAUAUUGCGAAGGAGGGACGGAGCAGGCUAGGCUGGCAUGGCGUUGGUAGUCCAUGUGAAAGUACGUAGGUUGGAAUUUUAGGUAAAUCCGGAAUUCCUUAAGACUGAGACACGAGACGAUGCUCUACGGAGCAGAAGCAGUUGAUGCCAUACUUCCAGGAAAAGCUUCUAAGCAUCAGAUAUAUAGGAACCGUACCCCAAACCGACACAGGUGGUCAGGUAGAGAAUACUAAGGCGCUUGAGAGAACUCGGGUGAAGGAACUAGGCAAAAUAGUACCGUAACUUCGGGAGAAGGUACGCCCUCUAUGGUGAUGGAACUUGCUUCCUAAGCUGAAGACGGUCGAAGUAACCAGGUGGCUGGAACUGUUUAUUAAAAACACAGCACUGUGCAAAAUCGAAAGAUGACGUAUACGGUGUGACGCCUGCCCGGUGCCGGAAGGUUAAUUGAUUGGGUUAGCUCUGCGAAGCUCAUGAUCGAAGCCCCGGUAAACGGCGGCCGUAACAAUAACGGUCCUAAGGUAGCGAAAUUCCUUGUCGGGUAAGUUCCGACCUGCACGAAUGGCGUAAUCAUGGCCACACUGUCUCCACCCGAGACUCAGUGAAAUUGAAAUUGCGGUUAAGAUGCCGUAUACCCGCGGCUAGACGGAAAGACCCCGUGAACCUUUACUAUAGCUUGACAGUGAACAUUGCUCCUACAUGUGUAGGAUAGGUGGGAGGCUUUGAAACUUGGACGCUAGUUCAGGUGGAGCCAACCUUGAAAUACCACCCUUGUAUGCGUGAUGUUCUAACCUAGGGCCCUUAUCGGGCUUGGGGACACUGUCUGGUGGGUAGUUUGACUGGGGCGGUCUCCUCCCAAAGAGUAACGGAGGAGCACGAAGGUUGGCUAAGUACGGUCGGACAUCGUACGGUUAGUGCAAUGGCAUAAGCCAGCUUAACUGCGAGACAGACACGUCGAGCAGGUACGAAAGUAGGUCAUAGUGAUCCGGUGGUUCUGUAUGGAAGGGCCAUCGCUCAACGGAUAAAAGGUACUCCGGGGAUAACAGGCUGAUACCGCCCAAGAGUUCAUAUCGACGGCGGUGUUUGGCACCUCGAUGUCGGCUCAUCACAUCCUGGGGCUGAAGUCGGUCCCAAGGGUAUGGCUGUUCGCCAUUUAAAGUGGUACGCGAGCUGGGUUUAGAACGUCGUGAGACAGUUCGGUCCCUAUCUGCCGUGGGCG